AUUGUAUGAUUUCAUACGUGAGGGCCAAAGUGGGUUUUGGUGUAAAAUGCAAAGAGACAGGACUCUAUCUGCUCCAAUCCAAUACUAGAUAAUUCUCAUGUUCACAAGAGAUUGCACUAUGCUAUGCAAGUAUGGGUCAAAGGAAUGAAUUAAGAGGCCUGUCUCUAUUGCAGUCACAUGCAUGGUUGCAGAUAAGUUCAGAAAUUUGCUGGUGUGGUGUUGAUGCAUUAACUUGUACUUAUAUGUGUCACAUGUGCACCUUAAUGUAUGUUUGGCACCAAAAGUGACUUUAUCCUUUUCCUUGUAUAUAUUUUGAUGCACAACAACUACUGCAUGUGAACCAAGUAGAUACUGAUGUCAUAUCUUAAGCUAUACACCAUU